GGACGAACGCUGGCGGCGUGCCUAAUACAUGCAAGUCGAGCGAAUGACAAGGAGCUUGCUCCUUGAUUUAGCGGCGGACGGGUGAGUAACACGUGGGUAACCUACCCUAUAGACUGGGAUAACUUCGGGAAACCGGAGCUAAUACCGGAUAAUACUUUUGAACACAUGUUCGAAAGUUGAAAGAUGGUUUCGGCUAUCACUAUAGGAUGGACCCGCGGCGCAUUAGCUAGUUGGUGGGGUAAUGGCUCACCAAGGCAACGAUGCGUAGCCGACCUGAGAGGGUGAUCGGCCACACUGGGACUGAGACACGGCCCAGACUCCUACGGGAGGCAGCAGUAGGGAAUCUUCCACAAUGGACGAAAGUCUGAUGGAGCAACGCCGCGUGAAGUGAAGAAGGAUUUCGGUUCGUAAAACUCUGUUGCAAGGGAAGAACAAGUAGCGUAGUAACUGGCGCUACCUUGACGGUACCUUGUUAGAAAGCCACGGCUAACUACGUGCCAGCAGCAGC
rnacentral:rRNA from 1 species